GGGUUUUUGGUGGGGGUAUGGGCUAAAUGGGCAAGGGGCAUUAAGGAAGACACUUGUUGGACACUUGUUGGGAUGAGCACUGGGUGUUAUAGGUAGGGGAUGAAUCAUUGGAUUCUACUCGUGAAAUCAUUCUUGCACUAUACGCUGACUAACAUGGAUGUAAAUUACAAAAAAAGAAAAAGAACAAGAAGAAAGAAAUGGAGCCUGAAGACAGGACUGACUUCCUGCCUGCAAUCUCAUGAUAAAACUUGAGCCGAUGAGGCGUUGCUUCUGAUGGAUGAGCCAAGAAAGCGGUUUCUUGAGAUGGGAUCCUGUCCUGGUGAAGAGAUGCCGUGAACACUGUUGAAACGACAGCAAGGGAUUGAGACUAUCACAGAGGCUUGGUUGAUAAAGCAGUGACAGGGUUUGGGGGGAUUGCCUCCAAUUUUGAAAGGAGUUCAAAAUUGUGGGUAAAAUGCUAUCAAGCAGCGUCCCGUGCUAUGGAGAAGUCAUUUGUGGAAGGUCGUGGCACACUCCCCUGUCGUCUUAGUUUAAGAAAUUGCCACAGCCUCCCCGGCCUUCGGCGAGCACCACCCCGAUCAGUCAGCAGCCAUCAGCACUGAGACGGGAUCCUCCACCAGCGAAAAGAUUGUGACUCACUGGGAACUCAGAUGCUCUGCAGCAUUUUUCUUGUUUUUUGGCAGUAAAGUGGUAUGGAACGGAGCCCACGCUACCUCUCAGGUAUGCCUGUAGAUAAAACCGUAUCCGGUCAGUCCCCAAAGUGAGAACUUACGCCAGCCCAGAAAUGACAGGAAAUUCGAACAGGAUUCCAGCAAACUGAUCUGGACACAGAAACCCCAAGCCUGUGAGAUUUAUGGACCGGAGGAGGAGAGAAUUUGAUCCUCCAGAAGCAGAAACUGUACAUCUCGGGCCCCUUACCGCUGAUGUUAAAACUUAACACCUUAGAUCAUCGGGAGAAAAUAAUACUAAUUUCAAAGGGUUUCACUUGACCAAUAGCAACAAAGUGGACAAGACGAUGGCCUACACUUCACAUAUCAUACCUUAA